UGCGUGCGUUGACUCCCAGUGGUACGUCACAUCAUGAGUGUGUUGGGCUAAAGAGGCUUCAACUGGGGCUUUAAACUGAAGUCUACUGUCUAGACAGGACGCGAGGAAUUAAAUGCACAGUCAUAUAGUCGACCUCUAUUCUUAGACUCUGUACUAAGCCAGCUGUGCUUUUCCAUAUCUGCUGUUCAUAGACAAUCAUGGGAACAGAGGAAGCUAACGUAGACAGUUAGCUGCGAGAAUUCAGAAGCCAAAUCCUUCAAGAGUCACACCCUAAUAUUCACUGUCCUCGCACCGGCCACGCGACUGCGGGUACAGAUGCGCAGCCCUGCUUCUCGGUCUGGAUCACAGCAGCGCGACUGUUUCCUGCAAAGAUCUCUGUGCAAAAACAACCAGAGGAAGCAUCACGAAGGUCAUGUAUGUCCGGCUUCAGUCUCCUUCGUUGGGCGACAGAUAGCGUAGGUGGGCUAGCUAGUGUGUGAUCAGCAUCACUCCUCUGGGCUAUGAGUUCACCGAUGUACACGUUUGUUUUGAGAGAUGACAACAGCACUGUGUAUGCCGAGGUCGCCAAGAUCCUCAUCUCGACUGGAAAAUGGAAACGACUGAAGAAGGACAAUCCUCGGUUCAAUUUAAUGUUGGGAGAGAGAAAUCGGCUGCCUUUUGGACGGCUGGGUCAUGAACCGGGGUUGAUGCAGCUGGUGAAUUAUUACAGAGGAGCCGAUAAACUGUGUCGCAAAGCAUCACUGGUCAAGAUUAUCAAGACCAGUCCAGAGUUAAAGGACUUGU